UACAGAGGGGGCAAGCGUUAUUCGGAAUUAUUGGGCGUAAAGGGCGCGUAGGCGGCUUGGCAAGUGGAAGGUGAAAUCCCUCGGCUUAACCGAGGAACUGCCCUCCAAACUGCUUCGCUUGAGACCGGGAGAGGUGAGUGGAAUUCCCAGUGUAGCGGUGAAAUGCGUAGAUAUUGGGAGGAACCCCAGUGGCGAAGGCGGCUCACUGGACCGGUACUGACGCUGAUGCGCGAAAGCGUGGGGAGCAAACGGG
rnacentral:rRNA from 1 species